UUUAAACAUGAGAGUUUGAUCUUGGCUCAGGACGAACGCUGGCGGCAUGCCUAAUACAUGCAAGUCGAACGAUGAUAUCACU
rnacentral:rRNA from 1 species